rnacentral:lncRNA from 1 species
GCCUAAACUCUAAACAGACAAGACAGACAAAGAAAAAAGCACAUUGUCAUUUUUCAGAUGGGGAGCUGCAACACAGAGAACCUAAGUGACUCACCCCGAGUCCCACAUGGAGUCAGUGGCAGAACUGGAAAUGGAACCCAGAUCUUGAGUUCUAGGCCUGUGCUGAGCCACACGAGCACCUUUUUCCUAGCGAACAUGACACGUGUAGCUGGAGGAGAAGCAGCGAGAGACCGGACAAUACCUCUUAAAAGAAAAUGGCUGCAAGCAGGAACCAAGGGCUGGGUCUGGAUCCUGGGAGCCACACUGUUGCAGCAGGAGAGGUACACUUUGUAAGAGCAAUACUGGACCUGAAGCAGAGCAGCAGUAUUCCACCCAUGUUGACAGCAUUGUCCAGUCGAGAGGGCACUGGGCUGGCAGGUAGUCCCGUUCUGCCAUUGACCAGCUGUGUGACCUGGGGUGAGUCACUGACCCAACAUAUAGUCUCUGUAUAUUGUAAGCUGUUUGGGAUGGGG